GGGGAUGUAACGGUCUCGACGGGGUGAGGCGAUCACGAAGAUGCGUGUCGAGCUACGCUGGUGGAGCUCGUUAAUACAACUGGCGAAAACAAACAUGCAGAUAACUUCGGUUAUCGCAUGGCUGCUUAAUUAAGUAGCUAUGCCAUCGGACGGAAGGGUGCUUGUUACCUUCUUCUCCGGUGACGCUCUCUAACAAGCUGGCGUGCAGCUGAGCAACAGGGCAUAGCGCGAGACAACACUGAGGCUGGCUGAAUGGGACCUAUCGAUCGGUUACCCAAUCGGUGAGAAAACGUAGAUCGAAGACACACGUGGUAAGCUUCGGGUGGUCCACUUCGGACCCGGGUUCGACUCCCGGCAUCUCCACCC
rnacentral:tmRNA from 1 species